GUGGGGGUGAAAGGUGAGUUGGUAGGGCGUAUGGCUACCAAUCUAAAGGUUGCAGGUUCAAUUCCCACCCUCCACA